AAAACAACAACGACGACAACAACAACAAUGAUGACGAUGACUAGGACGACAACAACGACAAUGAAGAGAAAAACGACAACAAGAACAAUAACAAUAACAACAACGACAACAACAACAACAAAAACAAGAAGAAGAACAACAACAACAACAAGAACAACAUGAACAACAACAACAACGAUGACGACGAUGACGAAGACAACAACGACCAUGACAAGAACAACGACAACAAACACAACAACAACAACAACAACGACCUCAAAGACAACAAGAAUAACAAGAACAACGACGACGACGACGACAACAACAACAACAACAACAACAACAACAAUAACGACAAUAACAAAGAAAACAACAACAACCACAACAACAACAGAAAUAACAACAAUGACCACAACGACAACAACAACAAUGAAGAAAACAUCGACAACAACGUCAACAGCGAUACCAACGACAACAACAACAACAGCAACAAGAACAACAAGGACGACUAAAACAACGAUAACAAGGAAAACAACAACGACAACGACCACAGAGACAAUAACGACAACAGCGACAACAACGACGAUUUUGACAACAACAACGAUAAAGACAAUAACAAGGAGAACAAUGACAACAACAACAACUCAACAACAACAACAACAACAACAACGACGACAACAUCGACAACAACGUCAACAGCUGUUAGGGCAUACUUCUCCCUAAGUGGUUUUAGUGAUUGAUGACAAUGCCUGUGUGGACUAAUCGUGUGCAUUGAGCAUUUCAGAUAAUUCAUUUCUAGGCACAAGAAGAUUCGAUGCCCCUCAGAAUCACUCAAAGAUGGUUGCUUUCUACGUUUCUCUUUGGUGGAAUUGAGUCGUAGGAAUGCCAUACUAUUAAGAGGGGGUCCGCUUUGGAAAGGUUUGGGUGGAAUCAUCACGUACACNNNNNNNNNNGCACCACCUUUGCCCUAGCUACAAUGGAGGUCCAUACCCAUCUUUGAUGUUUAUGCAAAAGGGCCAGCGGUAGUACCGCUCUAAGAGCGGUAGUAAUUUUUUACUACCGCCCUCUUAGCGGUAGUAAUUUUUUACUACCGCUCCGACGGACUUUUUCGCAUACUCCCCCCCAUAGUAGUACGCACUAGUAAUUUAUUACUACCGUGGUAACUACGACGACGACAACAACAACAACAACAACAACCACAACAACAAUAACAACAACCGCAACAACAACAACCACCACCACCACAACAACAACAACAACAACAACAACAGCGAGAACAACGACAACAACAACAACAACAACAGCGAGAACAACGACAACUACGACAACAUCAAAAACAACAAUGACGAGAAUAUAGACAACAACAUCAACAACAAUAGCAAUGGCAACAACANNNNNNNNNNNNNNNNNNNNNNNNNNNNNNNNNNNNNNNNNNNNNNNNNNNNNNNNNNNNNNNNNNNNNNNNNNNNNNNNNNNNNNNNNNNNNNNNNNNNACGCUUUUGUUGUUAUUUGUUGUUGUUUUUGUUGUUGUUGUCCUCAUCGUCAUCAUUGUAUUCCUUCUUGUUAUUGUUGUUGUAAUUUUUGUCGUUGUUGCUGUUGUUGUUGUUGCUGGCACUUUUCUUGUUGUUGUCGCUGUUGUCGUUGUUGUUGUUGUUGUUGUUGUUGUUGUUGUUGUUGUUGUCGUUGUUCUCGUCAUUGUCGUUCUUUACAUCAUUGCUGUUGUCGUCGUUGUUGUUUUUUUUUGUUGUGGUUGUUGUUUUUGUUGUUGGUUGUUGUGGUUGUCGUCGUCGUCUUCAUGGUCGUCAUCGUCAUCGUCAUCGUUACCGACCUCGUCGUCGUUGUCGUUGUUGUUGUUGUUGUUGUUGUUGUUUUUGUUGUUGGGAUUGUUUUUGUUGUUGUUGUUUUUGUUUUUGUUGUUGUUGUCGUUGUUGUUGUAGCUGUUGUUGUUAUCGUCGUCGUCAUUGUCGUCUUUGUUGUGGUUGUUGUUCUUGUUUUCAUCGUUGUUGUCUCUGUUGUCGUUGUGGUUAUUGUUGUUGUUGUUGUUGUUAUUGUCUCUGUUCUCAUUGUGGUUGUCGUUGUCUUUGUUGUCGUUGUUCUCGUCGUUGUCGUUGUUGUCGUUGUUGUCGUCAUCCUUAUCGUUUUUGUCGAUGUUGUUGUUGUUGUUGUCGAUGUUGUUGCCGUCGUUCUUGUUGUCGUUGUUGUUGUGGCUGUCAUAGUUGUCGUUGUCCUCAUUGUUCUCGUUGUUGUCGUAGUUGUCCUUGUUGUCGUCGUUGUUGUCGUUGUUGUCAUCGUUGUGGUGGUUGUUGUUGUUGUUGUUGUUGCUGUUGUUGUUGGUAUUGUUGUUGUUGUUGUUCUUGUUCUUGUUGUGGUUGCUGGCGCUUUUGUUGUUUUUGUUGCUGUUGUCAUCAUAGUUGUUGUUGUUGUUCUUGUUGUUGUUGUUGUUGUCGUCGUUGUUGUCGUUGUUCUCGUCAUUGUCGUUCUUUUCAUCAUUGUUGUUAUUGUCAUCAUCGUCGUCGUCGUCGUUGUUGUUGUUGUUGUCGUUGUUCUUGUUGUUGUUGUUGUUGUUGUUGUUGUUGUUGUUGUUGUUAUUAUCAUCGUUGUUGUUGUAAUUGUUGUUGUUGUGGCUGUCGUCGUCAUCGUCGUCGUCCUCCUCUUCAUCGUUGUCGUCGUCGUCCUUG
rnacentral:lncRNA from 1 species